GACGAACGCUGGUGGCGUGCUUAACACAUGCAAGUCGAACGGAAAGGCCCUGCUUUUGCGGGGUGCUCGAGUGGCGAACGGGUGAGUAACACGUGAGUAACCUGCCCUUGACUUUGGGAUAACUUCAGGAAACUGGGGCUAAUACCGGAUAGGAGCUCCUGCUGCAUGGUGGGGGUUGGAAAGUUUCGGCGGUUGGGGAUGGACUCGCGGCUUAUCAGCUUGUUGGUGGGGUAGUGGCUUACCAAGGCUUUGACGGGUAGCCGGCCUGAGAGGGUGACCGGCCACAUUGGGACUGAGAUACGGCCCAGACUCCUACGGGAGGCAGCAGUGGGGAAUAUUGCACAAUGGGCGGAAGCCUGAUGCAGCAACGCCGCGUGCGGGAUCACGGCCUUCGGGUUGUAAACCGCUUUCGCCUGUGACGAAGCGUGAGUGACGGUAAUGGGUAAAGAAGCACCGGCUAACUACGUG
rnacentral:rRNA from 1 species